rnacentral:ncRNA from 1 species
GUCGUCGCAAUAGUAAUUCAACUUAGUACGAGAGGAACCGUUGAUUCAGAUAAUUGGUUUUUGCGGCUGUCCGACCGGGCAUUGCCGCGAAGCUACCAUCUGUUGGAUUAUGGCUGAACGCCUCUAAGUCAGAAUCCAUGCUAGAACGUGAUGAUUUUUACUCCUACGCAUCUGUACUCGUACAAGAAUAGGCUCCGGCCAUGCGUCAUAGCAGGCUGACAACGGGUUCCCCGAUCGAAAGUUCGGGUUUCCCUGUCGGCGUAUUGCAAUUUAACCAUGCGUGGGAAUAAAUCCCUUGCAGACGACUUGAGUGUGAGGCAGGGUGCUGUAAGCAGUAGAGUAGCCUUGUUGUUACGAUCUGCUGAGGCUAAACCUUCGCUUCCUAGAUUU